CAGGGGGCGGGGCCUGCAGAAGCGGCUCGGAGUGUUCUGGAAGUGGCAGGAGCACGACUCCCUUAACUCUGGUGCAGGGUUUACCUCGGCUCCCUCGGGACGGGUUCCGUGCAGCUCCUGCUUCCUCCCUUCUCUUUCCCAGUGCCAUCCCUGGCGAGGGGGAAAAAAAAAAACACGGCCAGGAGACUUCCCACCCCUGCUUUGCUAUUUUUGUACCUCCGUGACAGAAAAACAAAACCCUGAGGAAAAGUCAGGCGACUUCAUUCCCUGCCGUCCGCGCCGGGGCCUCGACUACUGCUGGCGUCCGCGGCUUUCGCCCGCCGCUCCACAGGCGAGUUUUAAGAGAUUUCUCACAAUUGUCAAGUCCGCAAGUCUCCGUGCGUUUGCUUUUAUUUGGGCCGUGCGUUCAAAUGCGCUCAUAAUUCUUUCUGACCCUCAGAGGGGCCCUGAAGUAGGUGACAAAUUUGCCUUGGAUCCAACUGGGUGGUUUUAUGAUUAAAAAAAAAAAAACAGA
rnacentral:lncRNA from 10 species